rnacentral:rRNA from 1 species
AUUGAACGCUGGCGGCAUGCUUUACACAUGCAAUCGAACGGCAGCACGGACUUCGGUCUGGUGGCGAGUGGCGAACGGGUGAGUAAUACAUCGGAACGUACCCAGUAAUGGGGGAUAACUAUCCGAAAGGAUAGCUAAUACCGCAUACGCCCUACGGGGGAAAGAGGGGGAUCGCAAGACCUCUUGUUAUUGGAGCGGCCGAUGGCUGAUUAGCUAGUUGGUAGGGUAAAGGCCUACCAAGGCAACGAUCAGUAGCGGGUCUUAGAGGACGAUCCGCCACACUGGAACUGCGACACGGUCCAGACUCCUACGGGAGGCAGCAGUGGGGAAUCUUGGACAAUGGGCGCAAGCCUGAUCCAGCAAUGCCGCGUGCGUGAAGAAGGCCUUCGGGUUGUAAAGCGCUUUUGUCAGGGAGCAAAUCCUUGUGGCUAAUACCCACCGGGGAUGAGAGUACCUGAAGAAUAAGGACCGGCUAACUACGUGCCAGCCGCCGCCGUAACAC